GCGCGAGUGGCGGAAUGGCAGACGCGCUGUCUUCAGGUGGCAGUAUCCGGAAGGGUGUGGGGGUUCAAGUCCCCCCUCGCGCA
rnacentral:tRNA from 1 species